rnacentral:tRNA from 1 species
GCUCUCGUAGCUCAGUUGGUUAGAGCACCGGCUUCAUAAGGAGAGAUCUUGAUUUCGCCUCUCAACGAGAGCU